UCUUAGAACUACACUAUGUCU
rnacentral:piRNA from 1 species